UUGCUCCCUUCAGCAGCACAUAUACUAAAAUUGGAAUGAUACAGAGAAGAUUAGCUUGGCCCCUGUGCAAGGAUGACACGCAAAUUCUUGAAAAAAAAAAAAAAAGA
rnacentral:snRNA from 1 species